GUUUCCCUUCGGGGCUGGUUCACAGGUGGUGCAUGGUUGUCGUCAGCUCGUGUCGUGAGAUGUUGGGUUAAGUCCCGCAACGAGCGCAACCCUCGUUCCAUGUUGCCAGCACGUAGUGGUGGGGACUCAUGGGAGACUGCCGGGGUCAACUCGGAGGAAGGUGGGGAUGACGUCAAAUCAUCAUGCCCCUUAUGUCUUGGGCUUCACGCAUGCUACAAUGGCCGGUACAAUGGGUUGCGAUACUGUGAGGUGGAGCUAAUCCCAAAAAGCCGGUCUCAGUUCGGAUUGGGGUCUGCAACUCGACCCCAUGAAGUCGGAGUCGCUAGUAAUCGCAGAUCAGCAACGCUGCGGUGAAUACGU
rnacentral:rRNA from 1 species